UCCCUGGCGGUCCAGUGGUUAGGACUCCACACUUCCACUGCAGGGAACACAGGUUCGAUCCCUGGUUGGGGAA
rnacentral:tRNA from 1 species